rnacentral:rRNA from 1 species
UAAGUGACUAAGCGUACAAGGUGGAUGCCUUGGCAAUCAGAGGCGAAGAAGGACGUGCUAAUCUGCGAAAAGCUUGGAUGAGUCGAUAAGAGGCGCUUAAUCCAAGAUAUCCGAAUGGGGAAACCCAGUAGAUGAAGAAUCUACUAUCAACAAGUGAAUUCAUAGCUUGUUGAGGCAAACCGGGAGAACUGAAACAUCUAAGUACCCCGAGGAAAAGAAAUCAACCGAGAUUUCGUCAGUAGCGGCGAGCGAAAGCGAAAGAGCCAGUAAGUGAUAACAGUAUGGUUAGGAGAAUGUGUUGGGAAGCACAAUCAAAGAGGGUGAUAAUCCCGUAUCUAAAAACCAUAUUGUGGUACUAAGCUAACGAGAAGUAGGGCGGGACACGUGAUAUCCUGUUUGAAGAAGGGGGGACCAUCCUCCAAGGCUAAAUACUCCUGAUUGACCGAUAGUGAACCAGUACUGUGAAGGAAAGGCGAAAAGAACCCCGGUGAGGGGAGUGAAAUAGAACCUGAAACCUUGUACGUACAAGCAGUGGGAGCCCCAUCACUUAAUCCGAUUGGAAGGUGAUGAAAAGCAACCGCACUUAAACAAUGGUAAGAGGAGCGAAGCGAGUCAAACCACCCAAAAGAAGCAGUGGGAUUAAGUGAUGGGGUGACUGCGUACCUUUUGUAUAAUGGGUCAGCGACUUAUAUUUUGUAGCGAGGUUAACUGAAUAGGGGAGCCGAAGGGAAACCGAGUCUUAACUGGGCGAGUAGUUGCAAGGUAUAGACCCGAAACCCGGUGAUCUAGCCAUGGGCAGGUUGAAGGUUGGGUAACACUAACUGGAGGACCGAACCGACUAAUGUUGAAAAAUUAGCGGAUGACUUGUGGCUGGGGGUGAAAGGCCAAUCAAACCGGGAGAUAGCUGGUUCUCCCCGAAAUCUAUUUAGGUAGAGCCUUGAGGUGACACCUUUGGGGGUAGAGCACUGUUUCGGCUAGGGGGCCAUCCCGGCUUACCAACCCGAUGCAAACUACGAAUACCAAAGAGUGAUACUCAGGAGACACACGGCGGGUGCUAACGUCCGUCGUGGAGAGGGAAACAACCCAGACCGCCAGCUAAGGUCCCCAAGUCUAUAUUAAGUGGGAAACGAAGUGGGAAGGCUUAGACAGCUAGGAUGUUGGCUUAGAAGCAGCCAUCAUUUAAAGAAAGCGUAAUAGCUCACUAGUCGAGUCGGCCUGCGCGGAAGAUGUAACGGGGCUGAAAUAUAGCACCGAAGCUGCGGCAUCAGAAUUUAUUCUGUUGGGUAGGGGAGCGUUGUGUAAGCGGAAGAAGGUUCAUCGAGAGGUGGGCUGGACGUAUCACAAGUGCGAAUGCUGACAUAAGUAACGAUAAAACGGGUGAAAAACCCGUUCGCCGGAAGACCAAGGGUUCCUGUCCAACGUUAAUCGGGGCAGGGUGAGUCGGCUCCUAAGGCGAGGCUGAAAAGCGUAGUCGAUGGGAAACAGGUUAAUAUUCCUGUACUUGGUAAAGCUGCGAUGUGGGGACGGAGUAGGUUAGGUUAUCGCACUGUUGGAUAUGUGCGUUUAAGUUGGUAGGUGGGAAGUUUAGGCAAAUCCGGGCUUCCUUAACACAGAGAGAUGAUGACGAGGCUCUACGGAGCUGAAGUAACUGAUACCACACUUCCAGGAAAAGCCACUAAGCGAAAGGCUUUACUAAACCGUACUGAAAACCGACACAGGUGGUCAGGUAGAGAAUACUCAGGCGCUUGAGAGAACUCGGGUGAAGGAACUAGGCAAAAUAGCACCGUAACUUCGGGAGAAGGUGCGCCGGCGUAGAUUGUAAGGGCUAGCCCCUGAAGGUUGAACCGGUCGAAGAUACCAGCUGGCUGCAACUGUUUAUUAAAAACACAGCACUCUGCAAACACGAAAGUGGACGUAUAGGGUGUGAUGCCUGCCCGGUGCUGGAAGGUUAAUUGAUGGUGUAAUCGCAAGAGAAGCACCUGAUCGAAGCCCCAGUAAACGGCGGCCGUAACUAUAACGGUCCUAAGGUAGCGAAAUUCCUUGUCGGGUAAGUUCCGACCUGCACGAAUGGCAUAAUGAUGGCCAGGCUGUCUCCACCCGAGACUCAGUGAAAUUGAAAUCGCCGUGAAGAUGCGGUGUACCCGCGGCUAGACGGAAAGACCCCGUGAACCUUUACUAUAGCUUGACACUGAACAUUGAAUUUUGAUGUGUAGGAUAGGUGGGAGCCUUUGAAGCAGUGACGCCAGUCAUUGUGGAGGCGACCUUGAAAUACCACCCUUUAACGUUUGAUGUUCUAACGAAGAUGACGAAACGUGGUCUCGGACAGUGUCUGGUGGGUAGUUUGACUGGGGCGGUCUCCUCCCAAAGCGUAACGGAGGAGCACGAAGGUUUGCUAAUCACGGUCGGACAUCGUGAGGUUAGUGCAAUGGUAUAAGCAAGCUUAACUGCGAGACAGACAAGUCGAGCAGGUACGAAAGUAGGUCAUAGUGAUCCGGUGGUUCUGAAUGGAAGGGCCAUCGCUCAACGGAUAAAAGGUACUCCGGGGAUAACAGGCUGAUACCGCCCAAGAGUUCAUAUCGACGGCGGUGUUUGGCACCUCGAUGUCGGCUCAUCACAUCCUGGGGCUGAAGUAGGUCCCAAGGGUAUGGCUGUUCGCCAUUUAAAGUGGUACGCGAGCUGGGUUUAGAACGUCGUGAGACAGUUCGGUCCCUAUCUGCCGUGGGCGUUGGAUGAUUAAUUGGGGCUGCUCCUAGUACGAGAGGACCGGAGUGGACGCAUCACUGGUGUUCCAGUUGUCUCGCCAGAGGCAUUGCUGGGUAGCUAAGUGCGGAAGAGAUAAGUGCUGAAAGCAUCUAAGCACGAAACUUGCCAAGAGAUGAGUCAUCCCUGACUUUAAGUCAGUAAGGGUUGUUGUAGACUACGACGUAGAUAGGUCUGGUGUGUAAGUGUAGUGAUAUAUUGAGCUAACAGAUACUAAUUGCCCGAGAGGCUUAACUA